UUUACAUAUGGAGCUCGCAUUCUGUGGGUAUUGGCCAGGGCUGGUCUGUGCUCUUGUUCCAGUCCUCUCCUCUUGUCCUCUCCUUACCCUAUUCCCAUCUGGCCUGCACCUUGACCAUCCACUGAAAUGGCCCUUCAGGUUCACUGCCAACUCUCUGCCCCAGACCUUGUCUCACUGAUGUCCCCACCUUGCACCCCCCAUGCAAUGCUCCCCCCAAUUUCCCUCCUUCCUUCCUCUCAUCACCCCUAACCUCCACUGUGGGAGCUCCCUAAGCCAGGAAUCUAGAACCCCACGGACACUGGAUGUCUGCUGAGUGGCUGACUAAACCUCUCCUGCUCAACCCCAUCCCUGACCCCAUCGUCCUUCACAGCUGGUGCCCCCCAUUCCUGCUCCUUUCUGGAGUGCUGACUGUGAUUUGGGGAGCUCCUUGUUGAUCCCUUUUGGUAGCCCAUGAAGUUCACCGUUUCCGGCUUUUCUACCUCCUCAUCCUCAUUUCCCCCAAACAGGAUUGAUCUCUCUUCUCUCUCACACUCACUUUGAAUGUUUCUGUCAUUUUUAUUCCUUUUAUUUUAGUGGAGCUUCAAGAGGAAACAGAAAUAAAAACAUUUCUUUCAAGCCACUACAUUUAGCCAGAAGUCCCAGCAUUGUAUUUUGGAAACACUUUUUUACCCUUCAUUGAACAGGGUGAAGAGUGUGUGCGUGAGUGUGAG
rnacentral:lncRNA from 1 species